GAAGAAUCCCAGUCCUUCCAAGGGAGUGUCGGUAAAUCAUCAUUACAUCCGACAACGCAACCAGAGGGAUUAACCCUUUGCUCGGCCUCAGAAGAACAACAACAACAACAACAGCAACAAAUUCAACGAUGAAAAUGACAAAAGCUGCUCCUGUCUACGUGAAAAGGAGGACAGGCAGGCUGCGGGCUGUGAUUUUUUAGCUAUACGUGGAUACAGAUAGACAGAGACCUUUGUGCGCGCGCGUGUGAGGCGAGCACAUGAAGAACAUGCCACCACGCACCCGUCUGCCUCUCGGAACGUGCCUCAGCCCUCCCCAUAGCUCUCCCACUUUUUGGAGGACCACAAUACUGCUCUCCAGUGCAGAUGUGCCUCCCACCCCCCCAAGGAUCUCUCCUCUGGACUUAGAGAGAAGAGGAAAAGACAGAUUUUGAGAAAUGAAAAUUAUUUAAGGAUGUCCCCGCUGCCUCUCUCUGCUGCCCUCCUCUGUAACACCGAAGCAUUUGCAGAAAGUAAUACAAUGUAAAUAAAUAAUGAAAAGAAACUCUUCGGCUAGAAGAACUGCAGAGGAGGAACCGAGGAUCCUUUCAGGGCUGUGAGGAGCGAGAGAGGAAGACUCCGUGGAGAAAGGCCCCAGUGUGGGGAAGGCUGCUGAUGGAGAUCUCUGCGGGGCUGCAAACCCUGUGUCCAAAGCAGCUCAGACCUACAGCACCGGCACAGCUGGGCCCCACAUUACAAGCCUCAGGGUUUCUCCUGCGCUGGAAGCCAGCGGGUGCCUGCCAGGCUCAGGGGUCCCCACAAAGCCUGGGUCCCCCCGAAUUCAGCAGGUAAUCCUUUCCCGGUGUGCACACGAGCAGGUUCCCCGCGGGUCGCUCCGCUCGAGGAUCAUUGAUGCUGCGGGAAUCCAGGAGAGGAGCUGGGUUGGGAACGGGCGCUGGGAGGGACAUGGAUGUGAAAGAGGUGGAAACGGUAAGGCUGCCCUCGUCCUUUUAAAUAGCUGCAGCCAGGGGACUCCGCUCGCUGGCUGGGGUGCCCCAGGUAUCCGGUUUCAGCAAACAUCAGCUAAUGAGCACAGAUCCAGCCUCCGAGGGGCAGGUUCAGCGCCGCCGUACCGCA